AGAAAGCCAGCGGGGCAGAAUCUGCUCUGAAGUAUUUGGAGUCAGCACAUGUCCCAUCAGUUAUCUUAAAAAUAGCACCCAUUCAACAUUUGAGGCACUUCAGGCAUGUUUUGAUGACCCCACUACCUAGGAUUAAAAUGGUGUCAUAUGAGGCGGCUUGGUGAAUGUGUUUGUUGCUGCCUCGCUUUUAUCUAGCCCGGCUUUUAGUUUGUAGGUGGACUGAAAGGCCAGAGUGGUUGGAAGAGAUGCAUAGCCCUUGAACAGAAACUGGGUUGUGCUCUGCUCUCCUGGGAUUCAUAUGCCUGCCCGUGCUGUAGAUUAAAUAAACCAAAAAGAAGAAGAAAAGAACACACUGGCCCAAGUAUUUGUCCUGACAGAAAGAAGUGAUUUUUAAAAAUUCUCUUCUGCAGUUUGUGUGGUAAGGUACUUUGAAAAAACACCGAAAGAAAAUGUCUGAAUUCAGCCAAAACUCUGAUCAAGAAGAAAUCUAUUCUGAAGACCUAGACGAAGAUGAAAUCUUAGCAAACCUGUCCCCUGAAGAACUGAGGGAACUACAGAGUGAAAUGGAUGUCAUGGCUCCAGACCCUCAAGUGCCAGUUGGAAUGAUACAGCGAGAUCAGACUGAAAAAACCCCUACAGGAAAUUUUGAUCACAGAUCUCUUGUUGACUACCUGUACUGGCAGAAGGAAUCAAGGCGUAUGCAUGAGGAUGAAAGGGUCCCAGUCACUCUUUUACCA